GAUGAACGCCAGCGGCAGGCUUAAUACAUGCAAGUCGAGGGGUAGCAAGAUUGUAGCAAUACAAUUGUUGACGACCGGCAAACGGGUGCAGAACACGUACACAACCUUCCUACAAGUGGGGAAUAGCCCAGAGAAAUUUGGAUUAAUACCCCGUAACAUAGCGAUGUGGCAUCACAUUGCUAUUAUAGCUUCGGCGCUUGUUGAUGGGUGUGCGGCUGAUUAGAUAGUUGGCGGGGUAACGGCCCACCAAGUCUACGAUCAGUAGCUGAUGUGAGAGCAUGAUCAGCCACACGGGCACGGAGACACGGGCCCGACUCCUACGGGAGGCAGCAGUAAGGAAUAUUGGACAAUGGACGCAAGUCUGAUCCAGCCAUGCCGCGUGAAGGAUUAAGGUCCUCUGGAUUGUAAACUUCUUUUAUAAGGGACGAAAAAAGGUCUUUCUAGAUCGUCUGACGGUACCUUAUGAAUAAGCACCGGCUAACUCCGUGCCAGCAGCCGCCGUAAAAC
rnacentral:rRNA from 1 species